rnacentral:tRNA from 1 species
GGGCACAUAGCUCAAUGGUAGAGCAGUAGCCUCUUAAGCUAUUGGUUGAAGGUUCGAGUCCUUCUGUGCCCACCA